rnacentral:rRNA from 1 species
UACGUAGGGGCGAGCCGUUAUCCGGAAUUAUUGGGCGUAAAGAGUGCGUAGGUGGUUUUUUAAGCGUGUGGUGAAAGGCAAUAGCUUAACUAUUGUAAGCCGCGCGAACUGGAAGACUUGAGUGCAGGAGAGGAAAGCGGAAUUCCUAGUGUAGCGGUGAAAUGCGUAGAUAUUAGGAGGAACACCAGUGGCGAAGGCGGCUUUCUGGACUGUAACUGACACUGAGGCACGAAAGCGUGGGGAGCAAACAGGAUUAGAUACCCUGGUAGUCCCUGA